CUUUUUUUUUAUUCAGAUACACUUGUCCAAACUUGGGAUUUAUUAGAAGUAUUGGAACAUCAUCUGGUUUAAAAUCUUAUAACCAAGAUAUGUUUUCUCCAAUGUGGUUUUAUACCCAGCACAAAGGCAAUUAGAAGUAGGUCAUCCAUCACAAUCGCACAAAAAGGAAAUCACUUGAGGGAUGAUGUGGAUCCAUUAUCAGGUAAAAUACAGGUCAAGAAGGCAGAUUAGAUUAUAGUCACGUAGAACUGAUAAGAGAGAAGCAAUCAAAACUAAAGUGAAUUGUAAAUGAUAAAUUCAAGCAUACAAAGCAAAGUGGGAAUAUUGGAAUGGCUACUGGGUUUCCUUUUGAUAGUAAAACAUUGGGCAAUUAAUAUUCAACUGCAAAAAGAAAAACCUGAAUUCUUGGCUUCUUCAGGAUAACAAAAAUUUCAAUGAAAAGGAAAUUAUAUAAACAUGCAAACACAUACAGAGAGAGACCUUGAAGAAGUGAG
rnacentral:lncRNA from 1 species